rnacentral:rRNA from 1 species
CUGCACCCUUAAAGCGGCGGACUGGUGAGUAACGCGUGGGCGACCAACCCCGGGGAUGGGGACAGCCGUUGGAAACAGCGGGUAAUACCGAAUACGCUCGUAUGGUUGAGGCCAUAUGAGGAAAGGGGCUACGGCCCCGCCCUGGACGGGCCCGCUGUCCCAUUAGCUAGUUGGGGGGGUAACGGCCCGCCAAGGCGAAGAUGGGUAGCCGGCCUGAGAGGGUGAACGGCACAUUGGGACUGAGAUACGGCCCAGACUCCUACGGGAGUGCAGCAGCUAAGCAAUAUUCCGCAAUGGACGAAAGUCUGACGGAGCGACGCCGCGUGGAUGAGGAAGGCCGAAAGGUUGUAAAAUCCUUUUGCAGACGAAGAAUAAGGCGGGUAGGGAAUGACCCGUUGAUGACGUUAGUCUGCGAAUAAGCCCCGGCUAAUUAC